rnacentral:tRNA from 1 species
GGAGAGAUGUCCGAGCUGGCCUAAGGAGCACGACUGGAAAUCGUGUAAACGUCAAAAGCGUUUCGAGGGUUCGAAUCCCUCUCUCUCCGCCA